rnacentral:rRNA from 1 species
AAUGAACGUUGGCGGCAUGGAUUAGGCAUGCAAGUCGAGCGGUAAGGCCCCGCAAGGGGUACACGAGCGGCGUAAGGGACAGUAAUGUGUAGGUACGUACCUCCGGGCCUGGGAUAGCUGCGGGAAACUGCAAUUAAUACCAGAUGAUGUCUCCGGACCAAAGGUGUGAUUCCGCCGGGAGAGCGGCCUACAUCCUAUUAGCUAGUUGGCGGGGUAACGGCCCACCAAGGCUCAGAUGGGUAGCAGGUGUGAGAGCACGACCUGCGUCACUGGGACUGAGACACUGCCCAGACACCUACGGGUGGCUGCAGUCGAGAAUCUUCGGCAAUGAGCGCAAGCUUGACCGAGCAAUGCCGCGUGCGGGAAGAAGGCCUGGUGUAACGCUGUCAGA